rnacentral:rRNA from 1 species
CGAGAGCCUGACGGAGCAACGCCGCGUGAGGGAGGAAGGUCUGUGGGUUGUAAACCUCUUUUCUCAAGGAAGAAGUUCUGACAGUACUUGAGGAAUCAGCAUCGGCUAACUCCGUGCCAGCGGCCGCGGUAAGACGGAGGAUGCAAGCGUUAUCCGGAAUUAUUGGGCGUAAAGCGUCCGUAGGCGGUUUCAAAAGUCUGUUGUUAAAUCCCACAGCUCAACUGUGGAUCGGCGAUGGAAACUGUGAGACUAGAGAGUGGUAGGGGUAGAGGGAACUCCUAGUGUAGCGGUGAAAUGCGUAGAUAUUAGGAAGAACACCAGUGGCGAAGGCGCUCUACUGGGCCAUUACUGACGCUGAUGGACGAGAGCU